CGCUCCACCGUUUGCGGAAGCAGUGUUCUUUCAUCGACGGCCAACAGCCAUUGUUCUCCAAACCGACGCCAUUUUUAUUAGCGUGGAAUAUACCGCGCCUGGGCCACCUUGAGCGAUUAUUAAAAAUAGUGAUCAGCGAAAAUAAGAGCUUUCUAAAUUAUUAAAGAAUGCGAAGGUAAAGGAACCAACUUGGAAGCACAGCGAAAGGUCAGAGUUGCGAGGCGAAGAAUAGUAUGGUUUUCGACGCUUCUAUUAAUGAAACUCGAUGGAAUGAGUCGAUGGUACUUUAAGCGUCGCGACGGUGACCCACGCCAGCCGAUAUUGAAUUAUCUUUCGACGAAAUGACGGGGAUCACACCGAUAGACGGAAGUUUAUCGCGGAAAGAGGACCGCGUACAGAGCGUUUCAGCUCGUUAUCUUCGCUCGUUUAUUUGUAUCCUGUCGAACGUAUAAUAACUUGUAUCUUUCAACGUUUCCUACGGUGUGCCGUGGACACCGUCCCGAUAAUCGUCCGGUUUUAUUACGCUCUCAACGAGACGGACUCUCGAGAGCGGGAUUAUAACCGUAGGAACGUACGCGUGAAACGAUACUCGGCCAAUUGGCCGUCUAAGCCGCGUUAAUUGCACCUGUUCUAGACAUCGGCAGAUAUGUAACCGUGCACAACUGUCAAUGUCGAGAUCGGGUGAUGGCUACUCCGACGAAAUUCUACGCGUUUACUCUUUUAUUCUCUUUCGAAAUCGAACGGCCACCGUAAAAAAUGCUCGGCUUGUCCGAUGGCGAGUGAAAAUCACAGCCGGGAUUUUAUGGGGACAGCGGGCAUCGCUUUAUGGCGCGUCGCGACGCCGAUCGAUUCCAUAACGCGUUCCUUUUGUCUUCUUUGUCUGUGAUAAAUUUAUAAAACGCACUUUUUCUUUCUCGUUGCGAACGUCUCCGGUAACGCCUACGAAUCGUAUCAUCGUGCUGCGACAUCGUUGUUCUCGAUCGCGCCUUUGAGAACACGUUGACACUUUAUACUUUAUACUAAUCGUUCGUUAAUCAGUCACGCAGGCGAUCGAAGUUCCUCUUUAACGGGAGCAGCGGUUUUCUGUGAAAUUCGAGGAAACGAGAUUAAUUAAAGUGCAGGUCGCCCGGUGGUUGGUAUCGACGGUACUGACCUGAGCCACUGUGCAGCUAGACGAGGGCUAGUUUGAUAUGUGUGCGAGAAGGAGAAGGAAGAGAGAGAAAAAAGAGAGAGAGAGAGAGAGUGAUAAUGAGAGAAGGAGAGAGAGAUAGAGAGCGAGCGAGAGAGCUGUGUGCCCGUGACGCGGUUGGAAAUCGUGGCAUUGCACGUUGCACCGGUUUGCAGCGAGGCGUUGCACGCGCACAGGCCACACGCAACGCACAAGGCUUGCGCCAGACAGUCUGUUGCACAACUUAGGUAUUGAUCUUGCCCGGAACUAGUUUCCGUUUCCGUGUUCAGCCCGUCUUCAUCGUCUUUCCGUGAAAACAACCGUCGCACCACCGAUCCAGGAUCGAUCUAGAAUCGCCGAUUCAAUCUUCCAAAGCUUCCACAUGGUCAAGCUUGGAGCUCCGGUAGUCUGCUCUUCGAACAAAUAUUAAACUCUAAAUUAACUUCAACUUCUAUGGAUGACUCGUUUAGGUCAAAGAGCAAGGUACUCUGGUCACCGAGCGAGAACCAUUUUUAAUGGAAAAUUCAAACUACCAACGUUUAACGUACUUGGGUUACCAUCGAGCUAGCAUACUCAGCAGUUCGAGCAGGCUGUUGAUGAUUUCAAUGGCAACCGCCCGACGCAGAGAACUAGGAACUGUUUUCGACCGACGCGGCGACACACAGGGUUUAGAGCGGAGCGGGUUGGAGCGGAGCGACGAACAAUCGCGCUGCAACAGCGAGCGCGAGUGCAUUGCACCGCUGAGACAAGCAAAAGUAUAAGAGCUUUUAUUGUUGUUAGAAGAGGAAUAAACGGUAGAAAACUGCGCCUUUUAGUUGCUAACAAUCGGGGACGGAUAAGUUAUCGCUCGCCGAACAACAAUGAUUGCCGCAGCGGUUAGAAUUCAGUGAAUCCUCAAAGAUGAAAUGGUCGCAAUUAACAGAAAUAAAUGAUAUUUACUGAUUCAGAUUGUGGAACACGAGAAAUCGUUGUAUAUUAUGCGUUUCGUUGAAGGAGAGAGGGAGAGAUAGAGAGAGCGAGAGAGCGAGAGAGAGAGAGAGAGAGAGAGAGAGAGAGAGAGAAACACCGUUGACUGUGCACGGACCUGUCAAAAUCUGCGCAUGCGCGGUGCGAGGCGACGCAACAACAGGGGAUGUCAUUGACCCCAGCCGUAUGUAUUCAGCGAGAGAGGUUAAGGUUAAUUUUAUCGCUGGAUGGCGAAAAAUACUUCCUUCCUCUACUCACCAACCGGGAUUUUGUCUGCGAAAAUCACUGCGAGAGGAUCGAGGACUGUUUCCAUCGACGAGAAACAGUCCGAUCUGCUCUUGAACCUAAUCGCUCCGUAAAUAACGCGUAAAUACGCCUGAUAAUUCGAGGCCAGUCCCGGUUCACAGAACGAUACGAACACCACUCCGUUAUCGCGAUUGUUCCUCCACGACAAGUACGUCCAUUUUUUGCGCGCCAAACUGAUUUUUUCCACCGUAUCCCCCCUCCCUUUGAGGUUAGGUAUGAAUAUGCAGAUUUACAUGCUAAACAUAUUUUGCUUGAAACUUGCAGGAACAUGCGAAUAGGGAAGGAAACAUAGGCAAGAAAGAACGACUAGGAAAAAUAAAGUAUUGAUUUCCCUUUUAUUCUACAAAAAUGUACAGUGUGACGCUAUCGAGAACAAUAUAUGUAGCGAGCACCUACGUUUGCUGAGAGAUAAACGUAAUUUACCAAAGAGAAUGCGAAGCUAGCUGGCAGGAACUUAGGGCCAAGAAAGUAGCCAGUUGUGGCCCCAGGGCCUAGGUUUAGAAAAACUGGAAAAAUAUUCGCGGUCGAUACCACGUGCUGUACAACGCUAGGAUAGAUGGGUAAUGAAAUUUACACCGAUCGUUUAUUAUCGAAGCCGGAGCGUUUCCCGAUGCCGCGACGACCGCAGGGAAUGGAAAACGAUAUCGCGAAACAUCGACCGCAGAGACCCGCUGUCAGGAUGAUUCGAGGCGACGGAAAAAUGGGAAAUGGAUGCCUUGUUAAUCCCCGAUGAUUCGUUUCGAGCCCUGGGUCGAUAGCAGCCAAUCUACUCUACGUUUAUCGUUACUCUCGACUAUUAUACGGUACAGUCGCAUUUUUGCAAGGAUAAUUGACUUGAAAACGCAAGGACCACCAAACACGGGAGACUCGGGUGACUAUUUUGGAUGUUUAUUGUAAAAUUCUGUCGCGAUAUCGCCAUUAACUAUGACUUACCUCGAGGACGCUACGGCAGAAGUUCCCCGAAGCUCUACGAAUCGCAUCAGGUAUCCUGAGGUAUCCACGGAGCUCCUGAAAGCCACAGGACACUACGAGGACACUGCACACUAUCACAAAUCGCGGCACACGAUGCACAGUAGCAGCAGCAGUAGCAACAGUAGCAGUAGCAGUAGCAACAAGGGAGAAACGGUAAAACCCGUGUGUAGUCGUAUGAAUCCGGGGAGGCACUGCCACUUGGCCGUCGAGAGCUUCACUUCGGCUACGUGUAGUUCCUCCUUGGGCAUCCUCGCGUAUACAGCCUCGCGUCACGAUAGGGCAGACGACAGCUCAGAAAAUUCACCGGUGUGCUUUCCGGGAUAGCCUUGAGAAAAAUGAGCCUGUUCGAGAGUGGAGAGGGUCGCGCGGGGGUAGGAGAGAGAAAGGAGUGUACGAAAGAGAGAGAGGAGAGGAGGGGGAGGGAACAGUUUCUUUUCGGGGGAGAAUGCAGCCGAGAAUUGAUAGGUGGCGGAGGAGAGCUUGGGCGGGCAGCGAUUGGAUCGGAGGUGGGUCGAGGGGCAGGCCGGGGCUCUCGAAAGGGCAAAGAACUCGACCGGCUGGAGCGCGUUCGAGGCCCGAACAACACUCUAACUUCUCUCUCUCUCUCUCUCUCUCUCUCUCUCUCUCUUGGAUAUAACCGCGCGCAAGACUCGGCUCUGCUCGGCUCGGCUCGGCUCGGCGCGGCAGGACAAGAAUGGGCAAAACGCUACUCUUGCUCCCGGGGGCUGCACGGGGAUGCUUAUGGUGGCCCGAGCAAAGUGAACCCAACCGAGCUUUGGAACACUGUGGUCUGCUCUGGCUCCUCUCUACUUUUCUCUCUGAUUCUCUCUGCUCUGAGUCUGCACGGUGACAGCGACAGACUGUCGGUAGGACGCCACGGGCAACGACAAAGCACAGCAGAGUUGAACAGAGCCGAACUUAACCGAGCAGCUAGCGAAAGAACCGAUCGUUGGGAUGGUGGAACGCGGACUAGAAGAACGAACGAAGCAGCUAGAGCUUGCACUUUCAGUGAUCAACAGGGUACAUUUGUAAUCUGAUUGUAUCGUCGACUCUCGAGCUUCCCAAUACGUCCUGAACAGAAAAAUGUUUUCUGUACUUCUCUAUACGUUCCGGUCUCAGCAUCAGGCCUUACCUCGGCAUUUCCUAAAUAUCCCCGACGAGGACCUAGAUCGGCGAGGGCAGCGAGCGUAGCUGGUCUACGAAAAGAAAUGACAGAUAUCAAAAGAAUGAUGCGAAGAUCGUAGGGAAAGGGUGAAGGAGGCCUCCGGACCUCUCAUUUUUACUUCCGGACGAGGUCGAGGCACCUCGUGCGGAAAAACCGACACGACGGGGUCAGACGGCCGGGUUCACUGACACGGAGAGAAUUUGCUUUUCCGCGGGGGUGGAAAGUCGCCGGGGAAGAGAUAGGGGCGGGGAUUUCGGAAGAGGGGGCGGCGGCGGAGAGGGAAGCUAUCGACGGGGUACAUGUACUUACACGCUAGCACGAAUUCGGCGCGAAGGAGAACUAACCGAAACGUUCCUGUAGCCGUGUAGAGACUGCCUCUCGGGCGCACAUGGCUGUCUUCUUCGUCGCUCCGUCGCUGCUUCUUUUUCUCUCUUUCCUUCUCUCUCUCUCUCUCUCUCUCUCUCUCUCCCUCCCUCUCUCUCUCCCUCGCCCAUAUGCGCGCGCGCGUACAUCGUCCUACGAACACACCGAUGUGCGCUCGCAGACGUCGCACCCCGUCCAUCUCUUCCUCUCUCUCUCUCUCUCUCUCUCUCUCUCGCUCUCUCUCUCUCUCCCUCCCUCACCCCCUUCAGCCGGUGGUCCGUCGCGUUCCAUCCGUCUCUGUUCGCACACAGCUCUACCCGUGCGAAAUUCACAGCCAGUGGCGUAACCAGUAGGGGAUCGCCGACCCCUUACAGUCUCGAUCUUGUACCCCUUCUACUGGUGAACAGCGUUGCCACUUGCCAAUGGCGUUGCCAGUUCGUUGCAACGAGUGGGAGGCAACCCGUUAACCACCCUCUCUCUUCUCCUCUCGGAGCAGCUUUAUCAAAGUAUUGGAAGAGGACUCCCAUAGCUGGCUACCGCGAUCCGGAGGAGACGGUGCAAAUUUUCCUGCGGUAGUUGGUCGCCAUUUGGAAUUGCGUAGGAUGACAUAUGAAAUGGCGGGACGUCGGUGGAGUAUGUAUCGAUACGGCGACGGGACCAGUUCCUUUCCACGAGGAUCUAGAAUGGAUGCUAGGUAUCCGCACGGCGGUGCGGAGCAGAGAGCGCGAGAUCUUGAAAAGUGCAACGGAUGAUAUCUUGUAGCCGGGCUGCAUAUAACGCGUUCCACCCGUGGUGGGGGUGGAGGCAGCGGAGGCCAGUUUUCUGGAACGUGCACCAGGUUCCGAUCGCAGUGUCCCAUUGCAUUGGCUCCACCGCUCUUGCUUGCUCCAGCUGCGACCAGAUAGGACGCGGAGAAAGACGUCAGGAAUCCUCCGGUCAAGAAAGUCAUUCGAGGGACCAUACUCUACCAAAACACGCGGGUAUUAAUCCAGAAGGUUCUUCGCAACAUCCCCCGGGAGUCUCCCCACUUGUCGAGAAGACGCAGACACUGAGGACGGAGAUGGAGGGGAACGAGAGGGCGAGGGAAACGGGCUAGGCGCGGGCAGGGGACUGUCGGGUAUGCACGUAUUACUGGUUGAAUGCACGCCGUUCCGUCAAUUUCCCCUGGAGGACUACCUUCUGGCUACCAGCUUGUUUGUAUGUGCGCGCGUGCAUGAACCCGACGCAUCUACCUUGGCUAGACCAGACGACCGAGAGACGAUGAGAAGCGCUCUGCGGCAACCUCAACCUAGCCUUCUUGCAGGGACCGUGGUCUUUGACCGAGCUCGCGAUAAAAUGCACGAGCACAGGAGCCCCGCGUUCGCGUUGUUGCGCUUCUUCUUAUAAAUCGACAGGCUUUUGCCAGAAGAAAUGGAGCGACGAACACCUGCUUGCCACCAUCGCGAUGCGUUCAACGACGACCAUUCCUAGAUCGAAGCGGAAGGAGACAGGGCUGCAUCGGAAAAAUUCGGAUUUGGCUUCGGACCAAUGAGAGGCCAGGUGGGCAACCGAUGAAAAACCGUGCCACGGGGAAAGGGCCACGCCUGUUGCCGUCCCGGGAACCUUAAUGGGGUCCCAUGAAGCGAACGGGGCCCCGGUGCAUCUGCAUCCGGGAAUUACGACGCACUCGUUCGCACAAUUGAAAACCGUCGAAUAUAUACAGCGAUUCUGUUUCCUCCGUUCCUGCUUGUUGCGAACGGUCGCAGUAUCAUCGAUUCGUCCUGAAACACGUGUCCUUUACGCCUUAACUUCUGCUAGAUGGCUGUCCAUUGUUUUCGGCUGUCCUGGGCGAAGGAUGAAAAUGCGCCGGCUGCGAAAGUGGCAGGGAUAAAGAGAACACCGAAGACAAAGAGAAACUGAAAAGGAGAAGAGAGAGAGAGAGAGAGAGAGA